rnacentral:ncRNA from 1 species
GACCCAGCGACCGAACUGUCACCGUAUGGUGGCGUGCCCGAGACACCUCGGGAUAGGUCCUGGGUCGCUC